rnacentral:rRNA from 1 species
GAUGAACGCUGGCGGCGUGCCUAAUACAUGCAAGUCGAGCGAACGGACGAGAAGCUUGCUUCUCUGAUGUUAGCGGCGGACGGGUGAGUAACACGUGGAUAACCUACCUAUAAGACUGGGAUAACUUCGGGAAACCGGAGCUAAUACCGGAUAAUAUUUUGAACCGCAUGGUUCAAAAGUGAAAGACGGUCUUGCUGUCACUUAUAGAUGGAUCCGCGCUGCAUUAGCUAGUUGGUAAGGUAACGGCUUACCAAGGCAACGAUGCAUAGCCGACCUGAGAGGGUGAUCGGCCACACUGGAACUGAGACACGGUCCAGACUCCUACGGGAGGCAGCAGUAGGGAAUCUUCCGCAAAGGGCGAAAGCCUGACGGAGCAACGCCGCGUGAGUGAUGAAGGUCUUCAGAUCGUAAAACUCUGUUAUUAGGGAAGAACAUAUGUGUAAGUAACUGUGCACAUCUUGACGGUACCUAAUCAGAAAGCCACGGCUAACUACGUG